CGGCCAUAUUUCCCCAAUUUCCUCUAUCUCUAUCUCUUUAUCAAUAUUUGUUUUUUCUUCUGCAAUUUCUCUUCCAUUCAACCAUUAUUGUUGUUGACGGAGGCAAACGGCGGAUGGCAAUUUUCGGCUAACGGCAUAAAUUUUAAGCCUAUUCUUCGACUCUUGAAGACCAAUUCCGCUCCAAUUUCUCUUCCACUCCUCUUUUCGGAGUUGUGUUCCAGCACAUUGAAGGUGGAGAACUUAGCUUAAAUGGAGAGUAACAUUUGCUUAACUUUAAACAAGCUGGAAAAAAAAAAUUCUCUUGAUUUUUUUGAUGUAAUGGAACAUCUUCCAAUUCAUCUUGCGCAAGAGGCACGACUUGGAUGGCUCGUUCAGUGUAGAUGGAUGUAUCCUUACGAAAGAGAAAAUGACCAAAUAAGACCCAUAAACUUACCCUUAAGCUCUCUAUAAGGGUUUCAAAGAAGAUUAACAUCCCGGGUACGAAA